CAGUAGCCACGGUAAUACGUAGGUGGCAAGCGUUGUCCGGAAUUAUUGGGCGUAAAGGGCUCGCAGGCGGUUUCUUAAGUCUGAUGUGAAAGCCCCCGGCUCAACCGGGGAGGGUCAUUGGAAACUGGGAAACUUGAGUGCAGAAGAGGAGAGUGGAAUUCCACGUGUAGCGGUGAAAUGCGUAGAGAUGUGGAGGAACACCAGUGGCGAAGGCGACUCUCUGGUCUGUAACUGACGCUGAGGAGCGAAAGCGUGGGGAGCGAACAGGAUUAGAGACCCCUGUAGUCCCUGUCUCUUAUAU
rnacentral:rRNA from 1 species